rnacentral:rRNA from 1 species
CACUGGAACUGAGACACGGUCCAGACUCCUACGGGAGGCAGCAGUGGGGAAUUUUCCGCAAUGGGCGAAAGCCUGACGGAGCAAUACCGCGUGAGGGAAGACUGCCUAUGGGUUGUAAACCUCUUUUUUCAGGGAGGAAUAAAAUGACGUGUACCUGAAGAAUAAGCAUCGGCUAACUCCGUGCCAGCAGCCGCGGUAAUACGGAGGGUGCAAGCGUUGUCCGGAAUUAUUGGGCGUAAAGAGCUCGUAGGUCGUUUGUUACGUCGGAUGUGAAAACCUGAGGCUCAACCUCAGGCCUGCAUUCGAUACGGGCAAACUAGAGUUUGGUAGGGGAGACUGGAAUUCCUGGUGUAGCGGUGGAAUGCGCAGAUAUCAGGAGGAACACCAAUGGCGAAGGCAGGUCUCUGGGCCAAUACUGACACUGAGGAGCGAAAGUCUGGGGAGCGAACAGGAUUAGAUACCCUGGUAGUCCAGACCGUAAACGGUGGGCACUAGUUGUGGGAACCUUCCACGGUUUCUGCGACGCAGCUAACGCAUUAAGUGCCCCGCCUGGGGAGUACGAUCGCAAGAUUAAAACUCAAAGGAAUUGACGGGGCCCCGCACAAGCAGCGGAGCAUGCGGCUUAAUUCGACGCAACGCGAAGAACCUUACCAAGGCUUGACAUAUAGGGAAAAGUGGCAGAGAUGUCAUGUCCGCAAGGGCUCUAUACAGGUGGUGCAUGGUUGUCGUCAGCUCGUGUCGUGAGAUGUUGGGUUAAGUCCC